UAAGCGACUAAGCGUACACGGUGGAUGCCAUGGCAGUCAGAGGCGAUGAAGGACGUGCUAAUCUGCGAUAAGCGUCGGUAAGGUGAUAUGAACCGUUAUAACCGGCGAUUUCCGAAUGGGGAAACCCAGUGUGAUUCGUCACACUAUCAUUAACUGAAUCCAUAGGUUAAUGAGGCGAACCGGGGGAACUGAAACAUCUAAGUACCCCGAGGAAAAGAAAUCAACCGAGAUUCCCCCAGUAGCGGCGAGCGAACGGGGAGCAGCCCAGAGUCUGAAUCAGUGUGUGUGUUAGUGGAAGCGUCUGGAAAGGCGCGCGAUACAGGGUGACAGCCCCGUACACAAAAAUGCACAUGCUGUGAGCCCGAUGAGUAGGGCGGGACACGUGGUAUCCUGUCUGAAUAUGGGGGGACCAUCCUCCAAGGCUAAAUACUCCUGACUGACCGAUAGUGAACCAGUACCGUGAGGGAAAGGCGAAAAGAACCCCGGCGAGGGGAGUGAAAAAGAACCUGAAACCGUGUACGUACAAGCAGUGGGAGCCUCUUUUAUGGGGUGACUGCGUACCUUUUGUAUAAUGGGUCAGCGACUUAUAUUCUGUAGCAAGGUUAACCGAAUAGGGGAGCCGAAGGGAAACCGAGUCUUAACUGGGCGUUAAGCUAGCAGGGUAUAGACCCGAAACCCGGUGAUCUAGCCAUUGGCAGGUUGAAGGUUGGGUAACACUAACUGGAGGACCGAACCGACUAAUGUUGAAAAAUUAGCGGAUGACUUGUGGCUGGGGGUGAAAGGCCAAUCAAACCGGGAGAUAGCUGGUUCUCCCCGAAAGCUAUUUAGGUAGCGCCUCGUGAAUUCAUCUCCGGGGGUAGAGCACUGUUUCGGCAAGGGGGUCAUCCCGACUUACCAACCCGAUGCAAACUGCGAAUACCGGAGAAUGUUAUCACGGGAGACACACGGCGGGUGCUAACGUCCGUCGUGAAGAGGGAAACAACCCAGACCGCCAGCUAAGGUCCCAAAGUCAUGGUUAAGUGGGAAACGAUGUGGGAAGGCCCAGACAGCCAGGAUGUUGGCUUAGAAGCAGCCAUCAUUUAAAGAAAGCGUAAUAGCUCACUGGUCGAGUCGGCCUGCGCGGAAGAUGUAACGGGGCUAAACCAUGCACCGAAGCUGCGGCAGCGACGCUUAUGCGUUGUUGGGUAGGGGAGCGUUCUGUAAGCCUGUGAAGGUGUGCUGUGAGGCAUGCUGGAGGUAUCAGAAGUGCGAAUGCUGACAUAAGUAACGAUAAAGCGGGUGAAAAGCCCGCUCGCCGGAAGACCAAGGGUUCCUGUCCAACGUUAAUCGGGGCAGGGUGAGUCGACCCCUAAGGCGAGGCCGAAAGGCGUAGUCGAUGGGAAACAGGUUAAUAUUCCUGUACUUGGUGUUACUGCGAAGGGGGGACGGAGAAGGCUAUGUUGGCCGGGCGACGGUUGUCCCGGUUUAAGCGUGUAGGCUGGUUUUCCAGGCAAAUCCGGAAAAUCAAGGCUGAGGCGUGAUGACGAGGCACUACGGUGCUGAAGCAACAAAUGCCCUGCUUCCAGGAAAAGCCUCUAAGCAUCAGGUAACAUCAAAUCGUACCCCAAACCGACACAGGUGGUCAGGUAGAGAAUACCAAGGCGCUUGAGAGAACUCGGGUGAAGGAACUAGGCAAAAUGGUGCCGUAACUUCGGGAGAAGGCACGCUGAUAUGUAGGUGAAGCGACUUGCUCGUGGAGCUGAAAUCAGUCGAAGAUACCAGCUGGCUGCAACUGUUUAUUAAAAACACAGCACUGUGCAAACACGAAAGUGGACGUAUACGGUGUGACGCCUGCCCGGUGCCGGAAGGUUAAUUGAUGGGGUCAGCGCAAGCGAAGCUCUUGAUCGAAGCCCCGGUAAACGGCGGCCGUAACUAUAACGGUCCUAAGGUAGCGAAAUUCCUUGUCGGGUAAGUUCCGACCUGCACGAAUGGCGUAAUGAUGGCCAGGCUGUCUCCACCCGAGACUCAGUGAAAUUGAACUCGCUGUGAAGAUGCAGUGUACCCGCGGCAAGACGGAAAGACCCCGUGAACCUUUACUAUAGCUUGACACUGAACAUUGAGCCUUGAUGUGUAGGAUAGGUGGGAGGCUUUGAAGUGUGGACGCCAGUCUGCAUGGAGCCGACCUUGAAAUACCACCCUUUAAUGUUUGAUGUUCUAACGUUGGCCCCUAAUCGGGGUUGCGGACAGUGUCUGGUGGGUAGUUUGACUGGGGCGGUCUCCUCCUAAAGAGUAACGGAGGAGCACGAAGGUUGGCUAAUCCUGGUCGGACAUCAGGAGGUUAGUGCAAUGGCAUAAGCCAGCUUGACUGCGAGCGUGACGGCGCGAGCAGGUGCGAAAGCAGGUCAUAGUGAUCCGGUGGUUCUGAAUGGAAGGGCCAUCGCUCAACGGAUAAAAGGUACUCCGGGGAUAACAGGCUGAUACCGCCCAAGAGUUCAUAUCGACGGCGGUGUUUGGCACCUCGAUGUCGGCUCAUCACAUCCUGGGGCUGAAGUAGGUCCCAAGGGUAUGGCUGUUCGCCAUUUAAAGUGGUACGCGAGCUGGGUUUAGAACGUCGUGAGACAGUUCGGUCCCUAUCUGCCGUGGGCGCUGGAGAACUGAGGGGGGCUGCUCCUAGUACGAGAGGACCGGAGUGGACGCAUCACUGGUGUUCGGGUUGUCAUGCCAAUGGCACUGCCCGGUAGCUAAAUGCGGAAGAGAUAAGUGCUGAAAGCAUCUAAGCACGAAACUUGCCCCGAGAUGAGUUCUCCCUGACCCUUUAAGGGUCCUGAAGGAACGUUGAAGACGACGACGUUGAUAGGCCGGGUGUGUAAGCGCAGCGAUGCGUUGAGCUAACCGGUACUAAUGAACCGUGAGGCUUAACCU
rnacentral:rRNA from 1 species